CCCCCCCCCCCCCCGUGAUGAAAAUGUCCGUUCCUUUUCCUUUGGUCGACCUAAUGAAUGAACUAAGAAGACGCGUUCCUUUUGUCCAUCUGAUGGAUUUGACACAUACAGUCCCUGUGUUUAAUCCUUUAAAUUAAAACUGACCCUUUUCACAUAAAUCCUUUCAAGGCAAAUCAUAUUGGACUUAGUCUUUACAAAAUGGUCCUUAUGCUAUUUUUAAAAGAUCAAAAAUAGUCCCUUUUGGUUUAAUUCAAUACAAAAAGAAAUUCUUUGAGUUUGAUAUUUUACCAAACAAACCCAAAAAUAUUUUGAAGUCCAAAAGUGGUUAAGUUGCGGUUUCUCACGACAAGCUUCACGAAGCGAGCCUAGAUCGAGAUCACGCAUCAAAUGUUAUUUAUAAGGUCAGAAGAGUUUCUACAGAAGAUUCUCCGAUAUUCUUAUCAUACAAAUGUGAACGCCGGAUUGUUAGGCGUGUGUAGCGUUUCAGCAAUAACUAUUGUCAAUGUAAUUUCCAUUUCGGUAGUAAUAAAAGAUUAUAUUUCUAUUGUUCAA